rnacentral:lncRNA from 10 species
CGGCGCUCGGUUGGAGGCGCAGCGGCCCCGCGAGCAGACGCGCAGUGUCUUUCAGAUUUCCAAGUCUCUUCUGGUGUGCUGAGGUAUAUUUCAAUGUCUUCUCUCCGCUGAGGAUGACAGGGAGGACUCACGUAGCCACAUUGGCAAUGUUCUUUCAGAAGCACUAUUUGGGAACCUUGGAGCCUCUGGAAGAUGAACACCAUACCAUCCACAAUGUCAGGAUGAAAGUAGCUUCACUUCCCUGGGGUUCACGCCGUGGACAGUGCAACCUUCAGAUGCAAGGCUGAGCAUGAUUCAUUUAAAUCCCACCUGGAACUAUUCAAACAGCAAAGGACAACCCAGACCCCUGAGAGGAGAAGGUGAUCAAGCAGCACCGGUGACAGCAUUCAGCUGAUAAAUCUCUUGACCCUGGAAAAAAUUCAUGGAACUUGGAUAAAGAAGAGAGAUGGGAAGACAAAA